UUAGUCAGCACUGUGGGCAGGAUUUUCCAAACCAAAAGCAUCAAAGGUCAUGACAUUAAGUCAACCACAGAAGUACCAGAUUCACCUUGCUAGGUGAUAUUUUUGGCACAUCCUGUCAGUGUUUUCACUCUAUUAGCUUUUUUCCAUAAGAUGACAGCAAAUAUCAUGAUUGCAGAUUAUCUCAUAUUUCAGUAGUUUUGAAAAUAGAAAAAUUCCUUCAGGGUGUAGAAUAAAGUUUCAACUUUGCCAUAUUCAUGUAAAACAGCUCUAACUUCUCCGUCAGUGCCGCCUUAUGUUUGCUGCUUCUUUUAAUUGCCUGCAUUAGUGUCCCUCUCGUUCUCUGUGUCAUUUGUCAAGCUGUUCCCUGUCUUCAACUUCUGAUGCCAGCCAAAUAUUUUUUUUUUCUUCUUCUGGUUUCUUUUAUUCCUCUCGUCCUUCCUCCUUGUUUUGUUUUCGUCCUUCCUUCACCAUCGAGACCCAGUUUGCCUCUCGCCAGCUGUCAUUGUGAGGAGGAAUCUGUCCCCAGCUGACUCGCCUCUUUCACUCAGUGUGAACUUGUCUGACCUGGUGCCGUGACGGGCCUCGUACGGCCCGGGGGGCGUGUGCGGUUACAUUGGCCGAAGAGACAUAUGGAGUUCACAGAGGCGCCACCUCAGCUGCAUUCAGGACCCACCAGUGCCAAGUACUUCCAAGCUCCUGGCAACACAGACAGAGCAGGAGGAAGAGCGAGCUGUCUUCCCUCCCAGGUGACAGUUCAAGGCAGCGACGGGGAAGAACGCCUCCUGUCCUGGGAAGGAGAGUCUCCAGAGCUGUCUUCUUGGACUGAACUCAGGUCCUGCAAACUGGGCCAGUGUUAGCCGCCUGGUGGAGGCCAUGUUCAACCAGCUCUACCUUCUUCAGCCAGUGGCCGCAUGGUCCAGAGGAACCAUGAGGACUUGGUGUUCCUUCAUCCUCAAAGACUACAUGGCCAUUAGAAGGCAGUGUCGGCCACCAGGAGUUUGUCAUAGAGCUGUGUCAACAUACAUUUGCACUUUGCACAAAUAGGACAAUGAAAUUAGGCAAUACUCCUGGUAUUUUUCAUUAUACAGCGUGAACAACUGCAGAAGAAUUAUACUUCAUGCACAGACUGUUGAUGGUUGUGAGCUUGUUCGUCAUUAGCUGAUGCUGCCUAAACGCUGUUAAGGCUUUGCGUGUGUUAUUGUCCCACUGAAUGAAGACGUGCAAUUUAAUUCAGCGUUUGAUGAUAAUAAGGUAGAAUAUUUACAACAUGAAUAAAAUAUAUAGGUGAAGCAGCAGAGACUUUUAAGAAAUGCAAUAAAAUAGAAAUACAAGAUCCCAAAACUUCAACGAUUUGAAGGCAAACCAAUAUAUUUACUAGUCUGUUUUUAGUUUCAUGACAAGCUUUUUUACCACAUUUUAUUAGAAACGUAAACAAACCAAAGUAUUUUGCACAAGGAGACUCUAUUGCUUCUUAAAGAAACCAACAUUAUAUGUGUCCUCAGUUGCACUGAGGUACAUCACACACUCUCAUAUAGUGAUGAAUCCUCUAUGAAAGAAGAAUAUAUGCAGGGAUGAGAAGAAAAAGUGAAAUAUAAAAUGUAUAAAUAUAUAAAUAAAAUCAAUUCAAGAAAAUAUCUGCAUCCUUCAAAAUAAGAGGACAGGCAAAAGAGCAAAAAGAAAUCACUUGA